CUGCAGACUUUACCUCUGAAUCCUCUGUUAUGGUCAAAGCCAUAAAUAUCAGCCCUCUCAGUCUUCGGCAGACUAGCAAUCCGGUUCAGAAACUGGACGACUGAUGCAUUUUCAAAUAACUUGAUGAUUGCAUUAAAAGAGCAGCAGAAAGAAGGAAGGCAUUCCUACCUCAGGAUCUCAGAUCUAGAAGAACUUCAGAGACAGAAGAUGUACAGAAUGGUCAGCACUAACUAAGAACUCCAGAUCAUUAUGAUGGCUUGCAUCCCCAGUAAGGAGGAGUUGGGGCUUGUCUGCUUCUAUUAUCCCAAGUCUGGAAGCAUUCUAUCCAAGACAAAUGGGUUUUAAACAUCUUGGCAAAAUGAUUUUUUUCUGGAGUUCGACAACUCUCUUGCAGGUUGCAGUUUCCAGAUCACAAGGUGGCUGGGAAACAAAGAGAGAAGAGAGACUCUCAAAAACUCAAUUACAAGUCUUCAAGCAGAAAAAGUUAUAAUAAAGGCCAUUAAGAAAAAACGUAUGGUUUCCAUUCUCACUUAUGUCUAACCAGAAAGGCACCAGGAGGGUGGAGACCAAUUCUACAUCUGCACAUUCUGAACAAAUAUUUAAAAAUCAGAACAUUCAAGAUGGAAUCUCUCCAAUCAAUCUUAAAUGUUAUCUUUCCAGGCAAAUUGAUGAUGUCCAUCGACUUACAAGAAGCAUAUGUUCAUGUCCCUAUUGCAGUGCAACAUCAAACAUUUCCAAGAUUUGCAAGAAUUGAAGAACACUUUCAGUUUGGAGCCCAUCCAUUUGGAUUGAGCACUGCCCCUCAAACGUUCACCAAAGUCAUUGUAAGUCUUAUUGCAGAGAUAUGAAAAAGAGCAUUGCAAUUUAUAACUAUAUAGUCAACAUUCUUAUACUCACAGUUAAAAGAGAAACUUUUCUAUGUAAUAGUCAUCCUUAUAUUAUU